rnacentral:rRNA from 1 species
UACGUAGGGGGCUAGCGUUGUCCGGAAUCAUUGGGCGUAAAGCGCGUGUAGGCGGUUCGAUAAGUCUGCUGUGAAAGUCCAGGGCUCAACCCUGGGAUGCCGGUGGAUACUGUCGGACUAGAGUACGGAAGAGGCGAGUGGAAUUCCCGGUGUAGCGGUGAAAUGCGCAGAUAAUCGGGAGGAACACCAAUUGCGAAGGCGAGCUCGCCUG